GAAGUAUUAAGGUGAAAGACGUAUUUAAUAAAUUCAGAUUUUCUUUUCCAGAUAUCCAAGACAUUUUAAAUAUUGAUCAGCACAAAAAUUAGGCUCCUACAUGUACAGGAUUUAACAUAGAAAUGGGAGAAAUAAGCACUUAAACAUCACGGCGUAUUUCUAUACUACAGUUAUAAGAUGAACUAGAUGCUAAUUGUGUGGUCCAUAUGCUUUGAUAACACGAAGUCCUGUCAGAUACCCCGUCAAAGUCACAUUUGAAUUAAAGUUCGACCCAUGUCAAAAAGGUAGAUUUGAUAGUUUGGGAGAUAAUCGUCUUUCAAAACAAAAGGUGGAUACGUAUCUCCUUAACUGGUUGUUAUUUUGACAUCAUUAAACUAUUUUGUUAAUUUUAAUGGGAUACAUCAAACGUUACAAAUGUUUUAUUAGAUUAGUUUACUGAUCACGUGGUAUGGUUAUGUCUUAUAUUUCACAGAACAAAUUAAACAAUAAAUAACAGGUGUAAUUUAAGGAUAAAACUUUACUCCUUAGUACAAUAUCAAUGCGAUUUAAAAUAAAUGACUGU